GACGAACGCUGGCGGCGUGCCUAAUACAUGCAAGUCGAGCGGACCUCUUCGGAGGUCAGCGGCGGACGGGUGAGUAACACGUGGGCAACCUGCCUGUAAGACUGGGAUAACUCCGGGAAACCGGAGCUAAUACCGGAUACUAUGUCAAACCGCAUGGUUUGACAUUCAAAGACGGUUUCGGCUGUCACUUACAGAUGGGACCGCGGCGCAUUAGCUAGUUGGUGGGGUAACGGCUCACCAAGGCGACGAUGCGUAGCCGACCUGAGAGGGUGAUCGGCCACACUGGGACUGAGACACGGCCCAGACUCCUACGGGAGGCAGCAGUAGGGAAUCUUCCGCAAUGGACGAAAGUCUGACGGAGCAACGCCGCGUGAGUGAUGAAGGUUUUCGGAUCGUAAAACUCUGUUGUCAGGGAAGAACAAGUGCCGGAGUAACUGCCGGCGCCUUGACGGUACCUGACCAGAAAGCCACGGCUAACUACGUGCCAGCCGCCGCGGUAA
rnacentral:rRNA from 1 species